CUCACACGGCUCCGCAGGUGUGAGCGCACCUUCGGGGAUUGGGGACGCACGGGCAAACAGCAGGGCCGGAAUUUCGCGCUGCCGGCUGGUGAACAGCAGGGAAAUCUGCCUCUCCAGGGAGCCGGGAACGCUGCAGUGCCUGUGCAGGGAGCAGGCAGGAAGGAGCUCAUGGCACCGUGGCUCCCCUGGGGAUUACCGGCAGGCAGAGCGUGCCUGGGGGCACCCACGCAGCACCGUGCCCAUUCCACACACCCGCUGAACCGCUUUAAAUAGGGGAACGCUUCCAAAGCAUUGGUUGGGUCCGGGAAGCCCUACGGACUUGCACCAUCUUUCCCUCCAGAAGAACCUCAACCAUCUCUGCGAGACAGGGGCAAGCAGUGUAGUUUGUGAGGCAAACCAGGAACCUGGGAACGACACACUUGAGGCCCAGCGCUCAUGCUGAUACUGGUUUGGUGUCUGACAUUGCUGCAUCUCAGUGGCCAGUGCCCAGAGUGGGAGUUAAAACAUCAGGGUUCUGAUUUUGACAGGAAACUUCAGAUGGAAAGGCCAGCUGUGUGGGAUGAAGAAAGAACCAACAGAUAUCUCUUUCAAACCAGCUUUGGACAGUGAAUUGAAUUUGCACAGGCACUAUCAAAGGGAUGCUGCCAAUCAAACCCUCACUCCAAUGGCUCUCCAUGUAUCAUGACUUGGCAGCUGGGCACCUUCAGAGAGAAGAGAGCAGAGUAGAUGAGCUGAGAGCCCAGUCCAAGGCAGCAGUCCCUCUGGUCCUGUGUCCUGCUGCGUGAGAAAGCAUGUGAGGAAUUAUAAUUCCCUUUGGACAUGUGACCCAAAUUGCAGUGGGAAUUUGCAUUCCUGGUGCCUGCUUCCAUUUCAUGUCUGCUCCCCACUGCACAAUAACACCUGCAAGAGGGUUUGUUACUAUCUCUGAGAGUACAAGCUCAACAAUCUUUUCAGAGACAAUAAGAAGAGUAUCUACAAAGGAAAUCGAAUGGUAAAGAGGAGUCAAAAAUAUGUCAAUGCUGUGUAAAAGCUUAUCCAUACAAAACAAACUUGCUCAAAGAAAAAAUCAGCUGUCACUUUAAAAUCUGACAUUAAGGUUUUCAAAUUGCAGACCUUAAUCAGGAGUAAUACUUGAAGAGGAACAAAGAGAAUUUAUGAUGAAAAAUCAGGACAGUUGAGUGCUAGGCUCAGCGGGACUAACUGCAUGACAAUAUGGAUAAGAAUGAUAAUUGCAUUAGCUUAGCCUGAAAUCAUUGGCCAGAGCUGGUUUUUUUUGGUCAGCUGAAUUUCUGAAAUGGCUUCAUUUACUUUUUAAGCAAACUUGGAAGUAGAAUUACAAAUAGAUUAUGACAUGUCCAUCCACUCUCUUAGGGGAACAGAGCAUUUCAGAAAAUCAUCCUAACACUGGCUUAGAGCUUUUUGAAAUGGGUCAAACCAAGUGCCCUUUAUGGGUCCUUCUAAAAUUACAUUAAGAGAUGAAGGUAGCUCCUACUAAUGAAAGUUAGAGGAUCCAAACCCACAAUGCUGUCACUUUAUUCCACACAUUGUACUUUGACCCCAAGCCUCAUGGUGACAUUCCCACUUAAUCCAAUUUUAAGAUCUUAUUUACCCUUUUAAAAAUCAGGAUGACUUCAAACAGGCACUAAUCCUCUGCCUGUUAAAAACAACAAGAUACCUGUACCUGAGUCUACAUUUUCUGCAAUAGGAAACUGUUUAGGGUUUAUCUCCUAGCUCUACAGUCAAAUUCUGGUUCAAAUUCUAUCCCAGUGAUCCCAGUCCCAGUUUCAGCUGCCAGCUCCAGGUUGCUGAGACCUGAUGGGAAUAGUUGGGGGUUCCCAAAGCAGUGUUCUCCCAAACCAGAGCACUGUGAGAUUGCAGACAGGGGAAGCAGCAACAGAUGGGAGAGAGGAGCUGACAUUCCCCCACAGCCCAUACCUGGACCACUGCUCUCUCUGGUCCCUAAGGCACCAUGUUGCACACAGGCCAGGCUGGAAACUGCCUCCAGCUCUCCUAUUGCCAGGAUUCCAGCUGCCAGACAGUGGCAAAAGCAGGGUGAUUGAUAUCAGUGUGGCAUCUUGGGGUCAUUUUCCUCCCUCUAUGGAGAAAGUCUCUGCUUCUUGUCUCAUCUGGCCUGAAUUCUCCAGGCAUGAAGAUACAGAUCUGAAAUUUGCCUGAUUCUGGCAUCUGUUGCUGGUGCCAGUGGGGAUCUUGAACUGCCAGCAUGGACUUCGCCACACUGAGCUGCAUACAAGUGCUUUGAGGGGACUCUUGCAGUGGUCAAGCCCAGAAAGGAGGCUAAAAAAACCCAGCUGCUGAGGGUAAUGGUCCUGAGAGUGAAUGGACUGGCCUCAUGGAAGAUGGAGACAUAAAGGAGACACACUGUCCUGCUGCAGGCACUUGCCAGUACCCAGCUGCUGUCCCCCUUCUGCAGAGCUUCAAGAAACUCCUCUAAAUGGUUUUGGCUACACCAAAAAAAAGGUGUUUAAAAUGAAAAAUAUAACAGGAGUAAUAAUGCUAAUCUGCAAAAUGGAUAGGUAAUAAAAAACUCCAAGCUUUCUUGUCUCCCUCAGGUUUGUGGGGCUGAGGAAUCACAGAAUCAUAGAAUGGCCUGGGUUGGAAGAGACCUUAAAAAUCAUCUACUUCCAAUCUCCUUGCCAUGGAUGGGUAUGAAUGGUGAUGUGGUAGUGGUCCUGCUUGCUUGACUUUGCCCAGCUGAGCUCCCACACCUCAGCUCAGCUCCAAGGGCAGGUGCAGGUGUUUGCACCUCACUGUGCCUCUGAUCUUCAGGAAAAAACUGUUAUGGUCAAGGUCUUAUUGCCUUGCUAAAGACUUCACACACCAGGGAUUUUAAAGAGGGUUUGUACCAUACAGGAAAUCCCAAAGUGAGACCUUCUUGCAAAGGCCUGGACACUGUGCCAAGAUCCGCAGGCUGAAUUUUGGCCACAGCUGUUUUAGAAAAGUCACAGAGUAAAGUUCAAAGAAAAUAUUUAAAUGGCUGCAUGGCUUCUUCUCCUAGCAGCAGAGCAGAUUUGUGGGGACCUGCUGCCUGCCCUGCUCUGAGUGGGAGGGUGGGGUGAGCAUCACCCAUUGCUUUGCCUGGCUUGGAUGUCACGCCUCACCCGCUCACUUCCAUGAGUCCCACACCCCUCCAGCCCAUGGCUUCCUCCUCACACCUUGGAAGGACAGCAAAGGAAGCAAAGAGCAAUAAAACAGAACACUGACCUUUGCAUAACACAGACCUUUUCUAACUUUGACAUAAAUUCAUGGGCUUUAAUGGGCACCUGCUGAAGCCUUGGGUUUGGUGAUUUAAUGCCUUUCUCUUUGCCAAGGCCACCAGCAGGCAUGGCAGGUUUGUGCUUGGGAUCUGGGAUGCAAAGCAUUUUUAUGCGAAGGUGAUUUGUACCCCAACGGCUGUGGGGUGUGAGCACGUGUGUGGGGGGAUGAUGGAACAGCAACCUCAGAAAUGCCUGGCUGUGGACAGGGGUCCCUGGUGGUCCUCCUGGGGUACACCACCUUCUGCCCCAGGGCCAACACUAAAGCCAAGCCAUGGAGGCAGCGGAUGCCAGCACAUCCCCCAGGUAGGCCGUGUGGGUGGCACUGUCCCCAUCCUGUCCCCAUCCUGCACCCCAGGCUCUUUUUCCAGCACCCUGCAUCCCUCCCCACCAGGGUGAGAGUCCCUGCUGCUCCUGACAUAAAAGCACUACUCCCAGGGAAUACCCAGGGUCACUGCCACCCUCGCUGUCCCUGCCAUCAACGUGGGAGAUCGGGACCCAGCGUGGUCUGGGUGGGCAGGGGUUCAUUGUCAGGAUGUGCCUCGGGCACAGCGUCUCUGCCCAGCCCAGCUUUCUGACCGCACAAAGAAAACAUUUGCCCAGACACAGCCCGGCCCCUUGCCACGUUGAAAGCCUGGCUGCCGGCAGCUGGAAGGGGUCAUGCAAUGCCUCCCCAGCAGGACACAGAGCACAGGACUGGGAGAUGAGUUAAACAAGGCUGGGUUUUAGAGCCUUCUUGAAAUCUGCCCUCAUAAAAGGCAGCUGUCUGGAAACCUGCUCAUCGGGGGGAGGAGAGUCGCCCUCUGAAGAAGGGAGGCUUGCCAGGCCUGCCACCACCGCUGCUUGCACGCAGGCGGUGCUCCCGCCCCAGCUGCAGCAGGCUGGUAAAACACCAGGGAGGUGAAUAACACUGCGGGCAAGUGACCCUGCAAGCAGGAUUUCCAAGAGCUUCAGAGCCCUACGUACCAUGGGGUAGCCCCCUGGGGCACUGCACACCCCAGGGAGCACUGCCAGCACAGGGGACCAUGCUGCCAUCUGGUCUGGGAGCAAAGGGCAUGCUGGAGAGAGCAGGGAAUUCAGGCGCAAUGACUGAGGGGGUAUUUCCCAGCUGGUACAAGGUUCAGAGGUAUCCUGGAUACAUCCUGACAAGCUAGGAUGGGUCUAAGGGCUGACUUAUCCUUCCCACUGGAACAGUGGGUUUCAGUGAUCAUCACACAUGCCUGUCUCUUCUCUUGAGUGUCUGUGCUGAGCUCUGUGCUGUCCUGCUUGUGGUCUGGGGCUGGACUGCAGUUGGUACCUAUGCCUAUGGAAUACUUUGGCUUUCCAAUCCAGGGCUGUUUAUACAAUGCAGAGGACUUCUCCUUGCUUGCACAUUCCAGGUACAUCUGGGGUGGUGGCUGAAGCAGACAGGCAUCAACAGAUCCCUUGAUUUCUCCUCCUGUCCUUCUAGCUAAAAAGCUCAGCCCUUCCCCAAGCAGAACCCAGGAGGACUCAUCCAACAGCAGCUGGGCUCUUUGCUCUGAGACAGCCGGCUCCAAGUAGCAUCUGUACCCACAAACACACACUGGGCUUCUUCUGUGACUUCUGUCACAUCUUCUUAGCACUCACUUGUCUGCAGCCAAGUGUCUGGAAUGGGGUGGUUUCUGUUUUAUAGAGGAAGGAGACUGUCCCACCUGUCUUGCACACUUGGAUUUAAAAGGACUUGGCUUCCCUGCCACAUCUGACCUCUCAGCCUCCUCCUUUAUUCUGAAGGAGCUCAAAAUGACAAGGCUCUAAUAAACCCACCACCCUGUGAAUGAGGGAAAAUAAUUUAAGAAGUGAUGAAUGACACAUUCUUAUUUACUGUAAUUACACUGUGUGCUUCAGGAAGGUACUUUCCUAUCACUAAUCCAAAACAUUUAUACUUCCCUUUCUCGCAGUUUUCUGCUUCUUUAUUUUCUUCUAGGCAGCCACUCCCAGGUGCAUGCAGUGUUCCUGCAAGUCUCUGCCCCUUUGGAGCUAGCAGGGAGGAAGGGGAUCUGUGCUUCAACUUCUCCAGCCUCAGCUUUCCACAGCUACAUUUGUAGUGAAGGAAGGACAGAGGAAGAGUGAAAUCCUGAAGUUUUGUUUUCCCCGUGUGUUGCUUUCCUACUACAUUUUCUAAUGGGCCUUGUGACAGCAUGGGACCCCACUGUAGUGUGUAACCACCAUAAAUAUCCAGGUCAGUACCAUAUGGCCUUAUAUAGCAAGUUCAAUAGUGUUGCUCUAGGUUUAUCGUUUUAAAGACUUUCACACUAAGAUGGUAAAAUAUCCCAGAUUUUCAUGUGAUUAAAAAAAACCCCAAAAAACAAAAAGGAACAUGUUCUUCUAUGCAUGACCCGAAACUCUUUCUUCUUCUCCCAGAAGUCCAUAAAAAGGCAUGCAGAAGGCCUUAGGUUUUCAUCAAAAUGGUGAGGAACUGCUUUGCUUCUCCUGGGGCCUCCCAAAGGACUGGAAUAUGCUGGAUGUUACCACUUCAGGCAGUUCUGAGGAGCAAGCCACUUGACUGGAAGAGUCUGCAAAGAAAAAUAAAAAAUCACACCAACCCUUUAGACUGUGGUCACAUGGAACUGUUUUAGGAAUCCCAACCACCACACAUAUCGGCUGAAAAGUUCUGGCUUCAGAGUUUCUCCCUCGAGCUUUGUGCAAUCCUCUCAUACGUCCUAGGACUUGGAGGGAGAGGAUGUCUUUCACUUGGACAUCUGGCACUGGUGUCCUAACAGACAAGCUCCAGGGCAUUUUGUGAAAUAGUCUGCAGCCUUUAGAAUCUGCUCCAGACAGAAACCCAAGGACA